rnacentral:lncRNA from 11 species
UCUAGAUCAUAACUGGUGCUGAGAAUUACCAGGGAGGCAACAUGAGCUAAGCUAUUACCAAAAGGAAUUCUUACUGCUACCCACUGUGUCUCAAUUUCUUCCUGCCUGCAUUCACCAAGAUGACUGAUGCGACUUCUAAAUCACAUCUCUGCCUUCUGGAUCUCAUUCUCUGACCUGCAAAGUGGAAGUCUGUCACUGCGUGUUCAAGAUUGUUGCCUAACAACCUCAUCAGAUGAGCUGUCGGAAUUGCCACACAUCGUGGUGAAUCUGCUGGUGCCCAUCGGGGGCAUGGGGAACCCGUCACUCCACACCCUGCAUCGCCUGACUCACCCUAAUCCCUAUUCCACGAGGGAAAUGGGAGCUGUCCAGCUUCCCCCCAUUGACUUCUAUUCAACACAGAAAGCUUCCUGUGUUGCCACCGUAGUGUCAUGUGUUGAUUCAUCUCUACUUUUAUGA